CCUACGGGAGACAGCAGUGAGGAAUAUUGGUCAAUGGGAGAGAUCCUGAACCAGCCAAGCCGCGUGAGGGAAGACGGCCCUAUGGGUUGUAAACCUCUUUUGUCGGAGAACAAAACCCGGGACGUGUCCCGGACUGCGUGUAUCCGAAGAAAAAGCAUCGGCUAACUCCGUGCCAGCAGCCGCGGUAAUACGGAGGAUGCGAGCGUUAUCCGGAUUUAUUGGGUUUAAAGGGUGCGUAGGCGGUCCGUUAAGUCAGCGGGAAAAUUGCGGGGCUCAACCCCGUCGAGCCGUUGAAACUGGCAGACUUGAGUUGGCGAGAAGUACGCGGAAUGCGCGGUGUAGCGGUGAAAUGCAUAGAGAUCGCGCAGAACUCCGAUUGCGAAGGCAGCGUACCGGCGCCAGACUGACGCUGAGGCACGAAAGCGUGGGGAUCGAACAGGAUUAGAUACCCCUGUAGUC
rnacentral:rRNA from 1 species